UUAAGUUCAGCGGGUAGUCCUACCUGAUCCGAGGUCAGCCUUGUGCCGCCGGAGCGGGCUUGAUGGGGGUUUAGAGGCUAGCGCCCACGGGCUCCCGAUGCGAGGCUAAUGCUACUACGCAAAGGAGAGGGCCACGCGGGACCGCCACUGCUUUCAGGGCCUACAGACGUAGGGCCCCAACGCCGGGCCACGGGGGCUCG
rnacentral:misc_RNA from 1 species